UACGGGAGGGGCAAGCGUUGUUCGGAAUUACUGGGCGUAAAGGGCUCGUAGGCGGCCAACUAAGUCAUACGUGAAAUCCCUCGGCUUAACCGGGGAACUGCGUCUGAUACUGGAUGGCUUGAGUUCGGGAGAGGGAUGCGGAAUUCCAGGUGUAGCGGUGAAAUGCGUAGAUAUCAGGAGGAACACCGGUGGCGAAGGCGGCUAUCUGGACAGAAACUGACGCUGAGGCGCGAAAGCUAGGGGAGCAAACAGG
rnacentral:rRNA from 1 species